rnacentral:tRNA from 1 species
UAGCUCAGUCAGUAGAGCAUAGCGCUAAAAACGCUAAGGUCGCGGGUUCGAUUCCCAU